AAGUAGCAAUACUUUUGGUGGCGACCGGCGCACGGGUGAGUAACGCGUAUGCAACCUUUCUAUCAGAGGGGAAUAACCCGGCGAAAGUCGGACUAAUACCGCAUAAAACAGGGACACCGCAUGGUGAUAUUUGUUAAAGAAAUUCGCUGAUAGAUGGGCAUGCGUUCCAUUAGGUAGUUGGUGAGGUAACGGCUCACCAAGCCGACGAUGGAUAGGGGAACUGAGAGGUUGGUCCCCCACACUGGUACUGAGACACGGACCAGACUCCUACGGGAGGCAGCAGUGAGGAAUAUUGGUCAAUGGGCGAGAGCCUGAACCAGCCAAGUCGCGUGAAGGAAGAAGGAUCUAUGGUUCGUAAACUUCUUUUGCAGGGGAAUAAAGUGCAGGACGUGUCCUGUUUUGUAUGUACCCUGAGAAUAAGGAUCGGCUAACUCCGUGCCAGCAGCCGCGGUAAUACGGAGGAUCCGGGCGUUAUCCGGAUUUACUGGGUUUAAAGGGUGCGUAGGUGGUUUGAUAAGUCAGCGGUGAAAGUUUGCAGCUUAACUGUAAAAAUGCCGUUGAAACUGUCGGACUUGAGUGUAAAUGAGGUAGGCGGAAUGCGUGGUGUAGCGGUGAAAUGCUUAGAUAUCACGAAGAACUCCGAUUG
rnacentral:rRNA from 1 species